CGGGGUAUAGUGUAGCGGCAACACGGGUCGUUCGGGUCGAUCAGACGCUGGGUUCGACUCCCAGUACCCCGA
rnacentral:tRNA from 1 species